UCCGCUGAUCCUUUUACUACUGGAUCGUCGUCCUGCUCCGCCCUCUCCAGCUUGCGCUCUCGCUUUGCUCUUAUCGACCCCCGCUCCAGGCCUCCAGCCGCGCAUCUGCGCUCCGCCCUCAUCGGCUUGCGCUCUCGUUUUGCUCUUGUCGAUCCCCGCUCCAGGCCUACAGCUGCGCAUCUGCGCUCCACCCCAUGGCAACUGCCAACUGGCGUUCCCACCGCCGCGGUGUCAUCACGAACGAAGCUUGAGGAGACAAAUCUUCACCGCUGCGGCGCUGUCCGUGAGGGCGUGAGGCUGUGUGGCUAUGAUUCUGUAUCCGAGGAGGCCAGGACUUCUCUUUCGUUAGGAGAGAAGCUUUUUCUUAGGCUCUUCUUAGGCAAACAUUUUGUCCGUUCUGGACUUCGGGAGCUUUUUUCUUUUUUAUAUUUUUUAAAAAUAAAAAUUUCAAAAAUAUAUGUCCGUUUUGAAAAAUAUUUCAAAAA